GUAGGUGCAGUUUGAACUACAAACAUUUAACUGUUAAUUAAAAGAUGAAAAUGUAAUUCCUUCUACU
rnacentral:tRNA from 1 species